UGGCGAGGAAGGUGAAAAUAUUGAAUGACAGUGAUAUGGUUAAGAUAGAUUUACGGAAUAUGAAUUGGGGCAAGUAUGUUGCAACUUACCUGAUGGGAAUUAGGACAUUUAUUUUAAAGCAAGAGUUUAAGUCAACAGCCCGACAACGAUUAUCAAGGUUGUACUGGAUACAUCAGAUCACCAAAAUAUCCGGUAUAGUAAUUUUAUUAUGGAUACUAUUUUGUUUUGUAUACUGACUAUUUGAACGUUACUUUUUUAUCUUUGAACCAGACAAUAUAAAUACAAUUUUAUGAAGAAGGGAUUCAUCAUCCUUCUCAUUUUGUCUUUUCAUUCGUCUCCUUUCUAAAUAAAUCCAUUUAUGACAUUUUU